rnacentral:rRNA from 1 species
AUGUGUCGACAUAUGCAGCCUGAAUCAGUGUACUUUCUGGAAAUCAAUGCAUUUAUCAGACUGGUUUCAGAUUGGAAUGAGUGUUCAAUGCGUCUUACAUCUCCUAUUUUAUUUUUUGUUAAUAUAAGUGAAAUAUUUCUAUAUCACUGUCGCCUUCAAUAUUUAGCUAUUGUGUGCUUCAGUAUUAUUCACUGGUUGUCAGAUAUAUGGAAACGUAGUACAAAUAUGAGCACCCUUGAAGGACUGAAUGAGUUUCACUCGAGGCUCCAGAGGAAAAAUACGUACCCCAUUGCCAUCAAAGUCACCUCCAAGGGAGAUGACGUCCUGAUUCCAUACACUAUGUCUCCAAGGAAUGCAAUGUCCAUGAUGCAUGUGAAGGUGGUACUAUAUAGCUGA